AGUCGGAUAGCUGGGUCAAAUAGUGGUUCCAUUCCAAGUUUUCUAAGGAAUAUCCAUACUGCUUUCCAGAUUGGUUGCCUCAACUUGUAGUCCCACCAGCAAU
rnacentral:pre_miRNA from 1 species